GGCCACUUAGCUCAGCUGGUUAGAGCGCAUGCUUAACACGUGUAUCUCCGGAUAGCGGAUUACGCAUGAGGUCGGCGGUUCGAUCCCGCCAGAGGUCA
rfam:Trichosporon oleaginosus strain IBC0246 unplaced genomic scaffold CC85scaffold_24, whole genome shotgun sequence.